GGACGGGUGAGUAAUGCCUAGGAAUCUGCCUGGUAGUGGGGGACAACGUUUCGAAAGGAACGCUAAUACCGCAUACGUCCUACGGGAGAAAGCAGGGGACCUUCGGGCCUUGCGCUAUCAGAUGAGCCUAGGUCGGAUUAGCUAGUUGGUGAGGUAAUGGCUCACCAAGGCGACGAUCCGUAACUGGUCUGAGAGGAUGAUCAGUCACACUGGAACUGAGACACGGUCCAGACUCCUACGGGAGGCAGCAGUGGGGAAUAUUGGACAAUGGGCGAAAGCCUGAUCCAGCCAUGCCGCGUGUGUGAAGAAGGUCUUCGGAUUGUAAAGCACUUUAAGUUGGGAGGAAGGGUUGUAGAUUAAUACUCUGCAAUUUUGACGUUACCGACAGAAUAAGCACCGGCUAACUCUGUGCCAGCAGCCGCGGUAAUACAGAGGGUGCAAGCGUUAAUCGGAAUUACUGGGCGUAAAGCGCGCGUAGGUGGUUUGUUAAGUUGGAUGUGAAAUCCCCGGGCUCAACCUGGGAACUGCAUUCAAAACUGACAAGCUAGAGUAUGGUAGAGGGUGGUGGAAUUUCCUGUGUAGCGGUGAAAUGCGUAGAUAUAGGAAGGAACACCAGUGGCGAAGGCGACCACCUGGACUGAUACUGACACUGAGGUGC
rnacentral:rRNA from 1 species